ACGCAGUGAUCUACACUUCAAACCCCGCAGAAUCAUUCAAAGCACCGAGCCAUCUUCACAUCUCAUAAAUACGUCGACUAUAAUAAUUGGUUCAUCGUCGAAUCGAUGUACACAUUCUAAGAUGGCGGUGACAUGGAAAUAUGGCACAUGGAUAACUGUCAGAAAAUGAAUCUGAAGAACUUUUACCAGGAACCAAGUGUAAUAUAAUAUAACACAGAAAGGCGCAUGUAUUAUUCAAGCAGUAUGAUUUAUGUGUUUCAUACAUACUAACACGGAAAUAAAUACACGGACACACGACGCGUAUAAACUUAUCUGUGGUAACAAUCGUUGAUGACCGGAAAAACGGUUUUACCGACGUUGACAACGAUGUUUUUGUUCGCCCUGUGCCCUUUACCGGCCACGUCGUCCACCGACCCUAAUGCCUGUGUUAGUCCUCUUAAAAAAAAAAAAAACCUUUUCGAGACUAUGUGAAACUCGGAAGCUUUUCUGACAAUAAAACGGAAACGUGCAUUAAAUCAAGUCGAUUUAAGUCGCAUAAAAGAAGGCAAGGAGAUGAUGGUAGAGGGAAAAAAGGUUUACGAUGACAGGCAUGGGAUUUUAUUCGAGAAACCAGCUGAAUGUCUUCACGAGAUUUUCUCAAUUUUUUUAUUGUCCUGUGACUAUUAUUUAAUAACAUUGUAUUUAUGCAAUAACUAAACAAUGAGGUUAGUAUUUUCUAAUAAAAAAACUAUUAAUUACUCUUAUAUGCACACAAUACCGAACACAAUUUAUUGUAUUUUGUUACACAUUGUAUAAUACAAGUUUUAAAAGAAACAUUUAAUUAUCGUACUUUUAUUUUAGGUUAGGUAUUUAAUUUUAUAUGUUAUUAAAUCAUUUUAUUUUAUUUUACAUUUACCUACAUUGAAUACACAGAAGGUCUCACCGUCUAUGUUUACCUUUCAAUAAUUAUAUUUGUAAAUAAUUAUUUUAUUAUUGUUAUAUUAGAAAUUCACAAAUAUUAUUUUAGUUCUCAGUAGGUAUAGAGUUUGGAUUAAUAAAACUCAUGAUGUAAUGACGACAACUGUUUAAAUAUUCACGGUUUUCGUGUUUUUAAAAUCUUAAAAUGUCCCAUUUCAAAGUUAAUUUAUUUUAAUAUUUUAAAAGUAUUUUUUUUUACAGAUUUUCAUUAGGUAUUUACAUAGUUAUCAAAGUUUAAAAGUUUGUGCCGAGAUCAAGUAAAGGAGAGCACUAUAUAUUAAGAUAUAGUUGACCGAGAGUCCGAUGAGAUUUUUUUAAAUUUAUUAUAUUAUAUUAUAGCAUUAUAUACACUAAUUGAAUUGAUAAUUCUAUAAUUUAUGUUAAUUUUUUUUAAUUAAAAAUAAACAUUUAAUGUAAGCUUUCAUGAAGAAUCUUAACAAUCAUCAAGUUAAAGCAUUUCAAAAAGAAAUGAGUAAUAGUAGCUAAUGUUUAUUUUUUUUUUUUUUUUGUAAAAAUAGGUUGACAACUAGUUUAUGACUAUAUGAUUUCUCAAGGUAUACAAUUAUUACAGCACUAUAUACAACACCGAUUCAGAUUAGUAGAUAACGUGUACUUACGUCGACAUUAAGCCCGUAAAAUGGAAAUGUCUGCGUUCUGGGUAUCAUCCCGGGGGAAUACCUGUAGAAUUCGUGACUACC